UACGUAGGGCGCAAGCGUUGCCCGGAUUUAUUGGGCGUAAAGAGCUCGUAGGCGGUCUGUCGCGUCGGCUGUGAAAACCCGAGGCUCAACCUCGGGCCUGCAGUCGAUACGGGCAGACUAGAGUGUGGCAGGGGAGACUGGAAUUCCUGGUGUAGCGGUGAAAUGCGCAGAUAUCAGGAGGAACACCGGUGGCGAAGGCGGGUCUCUGGGCCAUAACUGACGCUGAGGAGCGAAAGCGUGGGGAGCGAACAGG
rnacentral:rRNA from 1 species